rnacentral:rRNA from 1 species
CCUACGGGAGGCAGCAGUGGGGGAUAUUGCACAAUGGGGGGAACCCUGAUGCAGCGACGCCGCGUGGGUGAAGAAGCGCCUCGGCGCGUAAAGCCCUUUCAGCAGGGAAGAAAAUGACGGUACCUGAUGAAGAAGCCCCGGCUAACUACGUGCCAGCAGCCGCGGUAAUACGUAGGGGGCAAGCGUUAUCCGGAUUGACUGGGUGUAAAGGGGGCGCAGUCGGCGAUGCCAGCCAGGAGGGAAAGUCCGGGGUCAAACCCCGGGACGCCUCUUGGAACUGCGUGGCUGGAGUGCAGGAGGGGCAGGCGGAAUUUCUGGUGUAGGGGUGAAAUGCGUAGAUAUCAGGAGGAACACCGGUGGCGAAGGCGGCCUGCUGGACUGCAACUGACGUUGAGGCCCGAAAGCGUGGGGAGCAAACAGGAUUAGAUACCCGGGUAGUC